rnacentral:lncRNA from 1 species
GCUCUGAGACAGAAGGAGCCCAGCUGCAGAGAAUCUAGGCCACUGUGACUUGGUCUUCCCCUCUCUGGGAUAUCACAAAGGCCAUAUGAGGUCAGUGAACCAAUCUACAAGAGAAGGGCUGAGCAGGGGACCUGAGAUGAUUUUCUCCAAUAUUUAGUCAGACUGAUUUUCUGGAUCCAAGUUUCUCAACUUACCAAAUGUGGGCAAAUCAUUAUAUUGCUCCCAGCCUUAAAAAUCUUCAAUAAGUUAAAGAGAGGACUCAGGCUUAAUGGCAAUCCUGUUAUCUUACCAAUGAGGAGACUAAACACCUAGUUGGAGAUCACCUCCUUACUGGCUCAGAGCUUCAGGAAAUAGCUCAAGGAUGUGCAAAUACUAAACAGUAGAGCUGGGAUUUAGAUCCACAUCUACUUAAUUUUAGUGCGUAUGCUCUAACUGCUGCCACAGAAGGGAUGCAGAGGAAGACGGUCAGUUACCCAGAGGGUGAUAUCUUUGACUUAAUGUUCACCAUAAAGACAGCUAUCAACAAAAGACUUGAAUUCUAACUUGUUAUCUAUUGCAGGAAAGUGCCUGCAAUAUGUACUGCCCCAACCACUCAACCAAGCUCUCAUGUUGACUUUCAGCCAUUGUGACAAGGCACCAUCAAUCAUCAUGUCCCUUUACCAGGAGGGCCCGUGUCAUAAGCCACUAUAUAAAGGGAAUGAUGGGUGGACUGCUUUGGACAAAUGGACCUGCGGUAGGAGAGAGGGACAACAGUAGGAGCAGGCAGAUCUUGCUGUUUCAACCAAAACCUCAUGCUGACCAGAGUUGAGGAACAGAAGAAGAUGGUGAAGGCCUGCAGGUAUAGGUGUUCAGCAUGUCAUCUGAAAUAUUCCCCACAGAGGCAAAAAGAAAGGAAAUUAUCUCUGAAAAGGAAUGGGAGGACAAGUCAGCAGAAUAUGUCAAUGUUUUGGUUGAAGAAGCUGCUUGAAUCUGGGCUUUUCUGUGCCAUGUGUUCUCCCAGGGCCAGCACAAAGAAGGGCUUUUGGUGCAGGCCCAAGACCACCAUAAUCAUCAUUGAUUAUUCCUCUCCACGCCAGUGUCUCUAAAUAAACUUUCUCUUCUUUCUCUG